GCCUGGCUGGCUCAGUCAAUAGAGCAGGAGACUCUUGAUCUCAGGGUUGUGAGUUCAAGCCCCACAUUGGGCG
rnacentral:tRNA from 1 species